CAGGCAUCACCAAGGCCCAAAAUAUUCUAGCAUAAAAUGGAAUUAAGGAUGGGAGAAACUCAGGCACAAGAUGAGAGAAUCAAAGGCAGCUGGAUUACCUCAUCUCUCUCUUUUUUCCAACUCAACAAUUAAUUGCAGAAUUUUCUCUACCUCUUUGUCGGACAAACAGAAACCACACUGCAUGUCUUGCCCAAUGAAGAGGAGUAUCGUGAGACAAUGCAUGAAGGGUUCCUACAGCAUCACUUGAUAUAUAUAUAUAUAUAU
rnacentral:lncRNA from 1 species